rnacentral:rRNA from 1 species
AUUGAACGCUGGCGGCAGGCCUAACACAUGCAAGUCGAGCGGAUGAAGGGAGCUUGCUCCUGGAUUCAGCGGCGGACGGGUGAGUAAUGCCUAGGAAUCUGCCUGGUAGUGGGGGAUAACGUCCGGAAACGGGCGCUAAUACCGCAUACGUCCUGAGGGAGAAAGUGGGGGAUCUUCGGACCUCACGCUAUCAGAUGAGCCUAGGUCGGAUUAGCUAGUUGGUGGGGUAAAGGCCUACCAAGGCGACGAUCCGUAACUGGUCUGAGAGGAUGAUCAGUCACACUGGAACUGGGACACGGUCCAGACUCCUACGGGAGGCAGCAGUGGGGAAUAUUGGACAAUGGGCGAAAGCCUGAUCCAGCCAUGCCGCGUGUGUGAAGAAGGUCUUCGGAUUGUAAAGCACUUUAAGUUGGGAGGAAGGGCAGUAAGUUAAUACCUUGCAGUUUUGACGUUACCAACAGAAGAAGCACCGGCUAACUUCGUG